CCGUGGAUGAAUGGCACAACAAUGGGCCUCAGGAUUUCAUCACAGUGUCACUGUGCAUUCAAAAUGCCAUCAAUAAAAUGCACCUUUGUUUGUUGUCCAUAACAUACGCCUAACCAUACCAUAACCCCACCACUACCAUGGGCCACUCGAUCCACAACAUUGUCAUCAGCAAACCGCUCACCCACAUGACGCCAUGCAUGUUGUCUGCCAUCUGCCCUGUACAUUGAAAACCGG